rnacentral:rRNA from 1 species
AGUGGAUGGGGAGCAACCUAGUUGUGCGUGUGUAAAGGUAGUGCCAAGAAAAGCGAUGAUCAUGUUGAAAAUCAAUUCCCGGUACCCGAAACCGACACAGGUGGGCAAGUAGAGAAUACUAAGGGGCGCGAGGUAACUCUCUCCAAGGAACUCGGCAAAAUGACCCCGUAACUUAGGGAGAAGGGGUGCCACCGAGAGGUGGUCGCAGUGAAGAGGCCCAGGCGACUGUUUAGCAAAAACAUAGGUCUCUGCAAACUCGAAAGAGGAGGUAUAGGGGCUGACGCCUGCCCAGUGCCGGAAGGUUAAAGAAGUUGGUCAGUUUUAGGAUGAAGCUAGCGACUGAAGCCCCGGUGAACGGCGGCCGUAACUAUAACGGUCCUAAGGUAGCGAAAUUCCUUGUCGGGUAAGUUCCGACCCGCACGAAAGGCGUAACGAUCUGGGCGCUGUCUCGGAGAGAGGCUCGGCGAAAUAGGAUUGUCUGUGAAGAUACGGACUACCUGCAUUCGGACAGAAAGACCCUAUGAAGCUUUACUAUAGCUUGGAAUUGUGUUCGGGCUUCCUGUGCGCAGGAUAGGUGGGAGGCGUAGAAGGUAUUCUUGUGGGGAUACUGGAGCCAACGGUGAGAUACCACUCUCAGGAGGCUAGAAUUCUAACUUAAUUAAGGACAGUUUCAGGUGGGUAGUUUGACUGGGGCGGUCGCCUCCAAAAAGGUAACGGAGGCGUACAAAGGUUCCCUCAGACUGGUUGGAAAUCAGUCGAAGAGUGCAAAGGCAGAAGGGAGCUUGACUGCGAGAAGUACAGUUCGAGCAGGGUGGAAACACGGUCUUAGUGAUCCGACGGUGCUGUGUGGAAGGGCCGUCGCUCAACGGAUAAAAGUUACUCUAGGAUAACAGGCUGAUCUCCCCCAGGAGUUCACAUCGACGGGGAGGUUUGGCACCUCGAUGUCGGCUCAUCGCAACCUGGGGCGGAAGUACGUCCCAAGGGUUGGGCUGUUCGCCCAUUAAAGCGGUACGUGAGCUGGGUUCAGAACGUCGUGAGACAGUUCGGUCCAUAUCCGAUGUAGGCGUGAGAAUAUUGAGAGGAGCCUUCCUUAGUACGAGAGGACCGGGAAGGACGCACCGCUGGUGUACCUGUUAUGAUGCCAAUUGUAAACGCAGGGUAGCCAAGUGCGGAGAGGAUAACCGCUGAAAGCAUCUAAGUGGGAAGCCCACCUCAAGAUGAGUAUUCUGGUGUAAGGUCACGGGAAGACGACCCGUAAAUAGGCACGAGGUGGAAGUGCAGAGAUGUAUGAAGCCGAAGUGUACUAAUAGACCGUCGGCUUGACC